AGCCUUUUGUGACAAUAUAAAAGGUGAAACCUGCCCAAUGACUCACGAGUUUAAUGGCCGCGGUACCCUGACCGUGCUAAGGUAGCAUACAAUAUGCCCUUUAAUUGGGGGCUAGAAUGAAAGGAUAAACGAGAAUAAAGCUGUCUCUAUAAUAUAUAAUAAAAAUUUACCUUUAGGUGAAAAGGCCUAAUUUUUAUUAAAAGACAAAAAGACCCCGUAGAGCUUAAUUAUAAAAUAUAAUGAAAAAAUAAACUAUAUUCUUCUUUAUAAACCUAUUAAUUUAACUGGGGCGGUUAAGGAGCAAAUACCCUCCUUUUAUAUAUAAGGUAACCAACCAUCAAUUGAUCCUUUAUAGAUUAAAGAAAAAAGCUACCUCGGGGAUAACAGGCUAAUAUCUUUUAAGAGUACAUAUCGAAAAAGAAGAUUGGCACCUCGAUGUUGGCUUAGAGGAACCUAAAAGUAGCAGAAGCCUUAAAGGCGGGUUUGUUCAACCCUUAAACCUCU
rnacentral:rRNA from 1 species